CUACGGGGGGCACCAGUGAGGAAUAUUGCACAAUGGGGGGAACCCUGAUGCAGCAACGCCGCGUGGAGGAUGACGCAUUUCGGUGUGUAAACUCCUUUUAUAUGUCAAGAAAAUGACGGUAGCAUAUGAAUAAGCACCGGCUAACUCCGUGCCAGCAGCCGCGGUAAUACGGAGGGUGCAAGCGUUACUCGGAAUCACUGGGCGUAAAGGACGCGUAGGCGGGUUGGAAAGUCAGGUGUGAAAUCCUACAGCUUAACUGUAGAACUGCAAUUGAAACUUCUAAUCUAGAGUAUGGGAGGGGGUGGUGGAAUUAGUGGUGUAGGGGUAAAAUCCGUAGAUAUCACUAGGAAUACCUAAAGCGAAGGCGAUCUCCUGGAUCAUUACUGACGCUAAGGCGUGAAAGCGUGGGGAGCAAACAGGAUUAGAUACCCCAGUAGUC
rnacentral:rRNA from 1 species